CAAAAUUAGCUGAGGUUCAUGUGAUUGUUAGUAAAAGAAAUAAAAUUGGAAGAACUACAAUAAAGUUCCAAGAACAUAACAGGAAUGCUAGCAGUAGCAAUUAGAAAUUGAAAAAGACAUGCAAUACUUUGAUAGGAAACUGAAAAGCAUAGAACAGGUUGCUUGUUAAAAUGCUAACCUAUUUAAGACUCCACCUAAAGCACAAGGGAUGAGCACAUCACAUUCAUGUACCAGCAGUUCAUUAGGAUCCAUGGAGUCUCCACCGUGAAAAUUUGUCAAACCACCAGUGGAUUCUUUAUGCCUGAGCAAUUCUGGUAUAUCAAGUCCAUUCAGGUUCUUGACUGCACCGGUGAUGUCAUUCACUGCUAUAAUCUUCCCACCUCUCUCAUGUAUGAGCCUUGUUACCCAAGACCCCACAUUCCCAAAACCCUGAAAAUUAAAAGGGUUAAAUUAGCAAUAUUUUAAUGAAAUAACAAUCACAUAAAAGAAUGUAAUUUAAAUGAUAACCAAAUUCAGAAAUGAAAUUUUUUUUCGAGAUUACCUGAACCACAAAUGUCAAACCCUUAAUGGAUUUCCCAUAUUCAGCAAGCAAAGCUUCAGUAGCAUAAACAACUCCACGACCAGUUGCUGCCUCUCUACCCAGUGAUCCACCGAGAUCCUAGUAACAAAUAUGGAUAAGAGAUAGAUGAGGAGAUAAGCAUUAUUUAUUCUGCUUUAAGAUGACAGUUUCAAAUUUAACACACAAACACUUGGAAAAUAACAGUCUUUAACACUUACUAUAGGCUUUCCUGUCACAACAGCUGGUGAGUGACCAUGAAACUUUGAGUAUUCGUCCAAUAUCCACGCCAUUGUCUGUUUACAUAUUUUAUCAUCUAAUUAUGACUAAAUUAAUUAAAUUCGAGAAAGUGAACAUAUGAACAAAUAUACUAUUAAAAGAAAUCAGUGCAGAUGAAAAUACCUGUGAAUUAGUGCCCAUAUCUGGUGCUGGAACAUCAGUAUGAGUACCAAUGAGAUCAUGGAUCUUCUGAGUAAAGACACGGGUAAGUCGUUCUAGCUCACUUAAUUCAUCCUUUUUAGGUAUAAAAAUAAAGCAAAACAAUUCAGAAUAUUUAUGUGGCACUCCACCGGAAGUCGUAUGUUUGGGGAAUCAGGCAAUUGGCUUCAUUUUUCUACCAUCUAAUAACAUUCUAGGCCUCCAAGUGGAGUUUCAGAUGAUCAGUGUAUAUAGGCUCUUCAAACUUUGAUAAUAUAAUAUCAAGAAGAAAAUAUAUUUUUUAAUCCAUCUUAGUUUUUCAAUAUGUUACCUGAACCCACUCAAAGUAGCUGACAGUCACACCUCCAGCAUUUGCAUAUAUAUCAGGGAGUAUUACAACUCCUUUCUUGGAUAGAAUCUGCAAUAUCAAAAUCUCAUAAAUAAGAACCAUAAAAAUCUUUCUCCACCUUUCUGUAGUAAACAGCAAAAGCAGAGGUGUAAAGUUACCUCAUCUGCUUCUGGGUCAGUUGGAUGGUUUGCUGCCUCUACUAUGAACUUGGCCUUUACAUCUGAAGCAUUAUCCCUUCAAAGGGACAAAUAGGCAAAAUUAGCUGAGGUUCAUGUGAUUGUUAGUAAAAGAAAUAAAAUUGGAAGAACUACAAUAAAGUUCCAAGAACAUAACAGGAAUGCUAGCAGUAGCAAUUAGAAAUUGAAAAAGACAUGCAAUACUUUGAUAGGAAACUGAAAAGCAUAGAACAGGUUGCUUGUUAAAAUGCUAACCUAUUUAAGACUCCACCUAAAGCACAAGGGAUGAGCACAUCACAUUCAUGUACCAGCAGUUCAUUAGGAUCCAUGGAGUCUCCACCGUGAAAAUUUGUCAAACCACCAGUGGAUUCUUUAUGCCUGAGCAAUUCUGGUAUAUCAAGUCCAUUCAGGUUCUUGACUGCACCGGUGAUGUCAUUCACUGCUAUAAUCUUCCCACCUCUCUCAUGUAUGAGCCUUGUUACCCAAGACCCCACAUUCCCAAAACCCUGAAAAUUAAAAGGGUUAAAUUAGCAAUAUUUUAAUGAAAUAACAAUCACAUAAAAGAAUGUAAUUUAAAUGAUAACCAAAUUCAGAAAUGAAAUUUUUU
rnacentral:lncRNA from 1 species